rnacentral:misc_RNA from 1 species
GAUGAAGAACGUAGCGAAAUGCGAUAAGUAAUGUGAAUUGCAGAAUUCAGUGAAUCAUCGAAUCUUUGAACGCACAUUGCGCCCGCCAGUAUUCUGGCGGGCAUGCCUGUUCGAGCGUCAUUUCAACCAUCAAGCCCCAGGCUUGUGUUGGGGACCUGCGGCUGCCGCAGGCCCUGAAAACCAGUGGCGGGCUCGCUGUCACACCGAGCGUAGUAGAUUUUAUCUCGCUCAGGGCGUGCUGCGGGUUCCGGCCGUUAAAAAGCCUUUUUUACCCAAGGUUGACCUCGGAUCAGGUAGGAAUACCCGCUGAACUUAAGCAUAUCAAUAAGCGGAGGA